UACAGAGGUCUCGAGCGUUAGGCGGAAUCACUGGGCUUAAAGCGUGUGUAGGCGGAUCGUUAAGUGCCUUGUGAAGUCCCACGGCUCAACCGUGGAACUGCUUGGCAUACUGGCGGUCUUGAGCAACCUAGGGGCGAGCGGAACAAAUGGUGGAGCGGUGAAAUGCGUAGAUAUCAUUUGGAACGCCAAUGGUGAAAACAGCUCGCUGGGGGUUUGCUGACGCUGAGACACGAAAGCUAGGGUAGCAAACGGG
rnacentral:rRNA from 1 species